rnacentral:tRNA from 1 species
GCCUGGGUGGCUCAGUGGGUUAAGCGUCCGACUUCGGCUCGGGUCAUGAUCUCAUGGUUUGUGAGUUCGAACCCCAUGUCGGGCU